rnacentral:rRNA from 1 species
UACGUAGGGGGCAAGCGUUGUCCGGAUUUAUUGGGCGUAAAGAGCGUGUAGGCGGCCAGACAGGUCCGUUGUGAAAACUAGAGGCUUAACCUCUAGACGUCGAUGGAAACCGUCUGGCUAGAGUCCGGAAGAGGAGAAUGGAAUUCCUGGUGUAGCGGUGAAAUGCGCAGAUAUCAGGAAGAACACCCGUGGCUAAGGCGGUUCUCUAGUACGGUACGGACGCUGAGACGCGAAAGCGUGGGGAGCGAACAGG